CGACAACCCGGUCCUAGGAGAGUCAUUCUUGUGGUUUCGACCAACCUCUCGAAGUGUUUCAACGCGGAGAACGCCGUGCUGCUGUCCCAAUCCUCCUGCUGUGGACUCUGAAAAUUAAUAAUCGAGAUCAGCCCAGAAAAAAUGUUUUAAAAAAAGAAGAGGAGAAGGAAGAAGAAGAAGAAGAGGAAGAGGAAGAGCAGGAGGAUCGUUUCAAGCUUGAUCAUGCACGUGAUAAACAAUCUCUGUGUUUACAGGGAGAUAUCGAGAUACCACGUGGAGCUUUAAUGGCACGCCAUAACUAAAUAUAGAGGCUUGGUCUAAGGUCAGCAUAGAUACCGAUCCCAUUUAACCAAGGGUGCAUUCAGUAAUAACUGAACGUAAUAAGAACUUCGUAAUUAAUCAUCGGAGCAAGGAACUGCGACUGACACACAUAAUUUGAGGUCAACGUAACCACCCAUCCUCAAUUUUCACGAAAUUGAUUAGAUAGGAUUUUCACCUCGUCUACAUCGAAACUUAAUAAUGGACAGUUUGUUACCUUGAAAAACCUUUAUAUAAAAUCACAAUAAAAAAGACAAGAAAUUUUGGAAAUUUCAAGUUUUGACAAUGGCGUUUCUUAUACGCCUGACCACCUAUUGAUCUAUUCUACUUAAACAAGUCAAGGAAAACUUAGAAUAAUUUGUAUCCAUCUCAGAAUAUUUCCAACCAUUUACCUGGGAAUUGGAGUAAGACUGGGACUCGCUGCAAUCGAGGACACCGUCUUUGACCACGUAAUGUAUCAAGUCCAUGGCCCUUCGCAUCUGGCAGAAAACGGUGUCUCUGUUCUCUCUGGCAGACGGACACUCCGGAUGCCUAAGGCAGGUUUUGCUGGACGUGAGCAGCAUCAUGGUACUCCUCUCCAAAACUUGGCGAGCCGCUGCCAUCUGCGCCCUUCGCCUCUCGUCUUUCAAGUCAUUCUGAAAUUUCCAAACGUUCCCUCCAUUCAUUCCUGGCCCACGUGUUGCUAUUUGCCCCUUGCAUUCGCGACAUCGUAAACGUAAUUCCGGUGAUUACUAAGGGAAAUCGAACCGAGGUCAACCACCUCUUGAUGGCGACGUAUAUUAAGAUAAGAUGGAUAAAUUUUAUAGGUAAUAAUAGAUCGAUACAUCUUAAUUGUCACUAACAAUUUUCUAAUUGAUUUGUUUAUGAACGUGUUAUUAACCGAUUUGAAAUCUGCGUGAAAGCCUAUGAAAUGAAAAAAGUGAAGAAAGAAGGAAUAACACGAACUUCAUCUGAUCAUCAAAAUAAAGUUUCAAUUAUUCUAUCUGGUAAUUCUUAUAAUUGUAUUACAAUAUUGCGUUACAUUUCUAUUUUUAAAGUAUCUAGUAUUUGAAUAGUAUCGGGCAGCACUUGUUUUAGCACAGAGUUUCAAAUUUUAUCUCUGAACUCGUUCAAUAUUAAAUAUUAUCCUUUUUUAAUCGCGUCUCCUUCACGAAGGGAGCAUUGAUUUAUCUCUAUUUAGAUUGUUCUAUUAGCAAUAGGAUACGAGUGGGGGGACGUUGAAAGCCGUGCAAAAUAGAAUGGUAACGUAUGAACUCGGAAUACUAAUUACAAAGCUGUCAAGAACCAUGAUUCACGUUAAAUGAGUCGAAUGAGGAUUAAUGUAGAUGCCUGAAUCAAUCUCUGUCUCGAUUGUACUCCGAUUUCAUCAUGACUGGACUAAUACAAACGCAUUAAUAUUAUUCUCGAGAUUGCGAUGCGUGACUCAAACUGUGAAUAUAAAAAGAAAAGAAUCAAUUUUAACAUACAAUAAAAAUAAACUAUUCAAC